ensembl:lncRNA novel transcript
CUGGGAUUACAGGUGUGAACCACCGUGCUCAGCCACUAAUCUUGAUGUCAAUCCUUAGAGGGAUCAGGAAGCAGGAGCAAUGGACAGGCAAGAGACACUGCUGAGGUGCCCUGUACCUUCUCCAGAUGGCCUCCCUCUUCUCCUCUGAGACACAGUGCAAUAAUACCGUAUGGAUAGAAAGUCUGAGGCAGCAUCAUGGAAGCUGAGUCCCCAGAACCUGGGAAGGCUGGGAAGAAUGAUGGAGAGAGAAGAGCAAGGAAAGAGAGAGGGGAAGAGUCUCCAUGCUGCAGACACAACCUGCUUAUUAGGUCAAUAGUAGGCCACCCUGCGUCAUGAUGCCUUUCUCAUUCACCUUACUUCAUCACAUCACAUCACAUAGGCAUGGUAUCUUCUCACAUCAUCAAAAAAGGAUCACGAUGCCUCCUGAGCUGACUUCAUUCUGUUCUUAUCACUAAUCACCCAGCAUCACGUAAAUCUCAAAUCGAGAUGGGUUCAGGAGAUUAGAUAUGAUGAAGUCGAAUAAACAUACCCUUGAGUCCAAAAGGAAAAGAUAUUUAAAUUUAAGGAACACUGCAGAAAGCAUCUUUCUUCCAAAGACAUAGCAAAUGUAAGAUAUAGAAGACAGCCUCUCCCCGACUUCCAGCCCCAGCUUUCCAACCGAUAUUGCUUUACCACAGCAGCCAACCCAGGCAACUGCUGACGGAGUGGGCAUACUGGUUGUAUGCCUUGGCUCUCUGUUCACAAUCCUGAAGGGAUAGAA